rnacentral:other from 1 species
GCGGCUCUACCCUUCUCGUAAUUGGAAACAACAUUCCAGUGGCCUUAAGCAAAUUCGAGGGAACUGGCUCUGAUCGGAUCUUGGUUCGAUUAUCUGGUGCCCACCUGUAAAACCAGGUCCUCGGGAAUUAGCUAUUCCAACGGUUGUUGGUGGUCCCGCU